rnacentral:rRNA from 1 species
AGCCUGACCAGCCAUGCCGCGUGCAGGAAGACGGCCCUAUGGGUUGUAAACUGCUUUUGUACCGGAAUAAACCCUUUUACGUGUAAGAGGCUGAAUGUACGGUAAGAAUAAGGAUCGGCUAACUCCGUGCCAGCAGCCGCGGUAAUACGGAGGAUCCAAGCGUUAUCCGGAUUUAUUGGGUUUAAAGGGUGCGUAGGCGGCCAAUUAAGUCAGGGGUGAAAGACGGUAGCUUAACUAUCGCAGUGCCUUUGAUACUGAUUGGCUUGAAUCCACUUGAGGUAGGCGGAAUGUGACAAGUAGCGGUGAAAUGCAUAGAUAUGUCACAGAACACCAAUUGCGAAGGCAGCUUACUAAAGUGGUAUUGACGCUGAGGCACGAAAGCGUGGGGAUCAAACAGGAUUAGAUACCCUGGUAGUCCACGCCCUAAACGAUGAACACUCGAUGUUGGCGAUAUACGGUCAGCGUCUAAGCGAAAGCGUUAAGUGUUCCACCUGGGGAGUACGCCCGCAAGGGUGAAACUCAAAGGAAUUGACGGGGGCCCGCACAAGCGGAGGAGCAUGUGGUUUAAUUCGAUGAUACGCGAGGAACCUUACCCGGGCUUGAAAGUUAGUGAAUGUGACAGAGACGUCACAG